ACCCCCCCUUUAUUUUCCCCCGUGUCCCCGUGCGUGUCCCCCCGCCCCACGCACACGUGUCCCGCGCGGGGCCGCCCUCCGGCCCUGCCAUCUUCCCCACGUGCCCUUGCACACCCCUUGCACGCCCUUGCACACCCCUUGCACGCCCCUUGCACACUCACUUGGCCGUCGGUGCACGCUUGCACGCGUGCGUGCGCUUGCACAACCCCGCGCGUGCCCACCCGCCGAGCCCUCCGGCCUUGCCAUCUUCCCCACGUGCCUUGCACGGCCCUUGCACGCUCACUCGGACGCCCGUGCACGCUCGCACGCGCGUGUGCACCCGCACAACCACACGCGUGCACGCUCGCAGAUCCAUUUGCACGCUCGCACAGCCCUGCCCGUGCUCGCACAGCCCCGCGCGCUCUCGCACAGCCUUGCACGCGCUUCCCCGGCCUCGCACGCGCGCGUGCAGCCUCGUGCGCUUGCACACCCACGCGUGCACGCCCCACGCCGCCUCCCAGCCGCUCUCGGACCCGGCGAGCUGCCGCCCUUUCCUUCCUGGCCGCCUUCCCGCGGGGCCGGGCUCCCCCGCAGCGGGGGCCCCUUUCCCGGGGGGAAACCUCGCCGCCAGCGCCCGCGCCGGAAAGUGCAUUUAUUUUCUUAUUUUUUUAUUUUUUUGGACAUUUUCGGCCUUCUUCCCAAAGCUUUUUCCUCGGGGAAUCACCCGGCAGCGGCUCCCCGCCGCCGCUUUUCGGGUUGUCGAGCGGUUGGGUACGGUUAUGGCUGCUCGGCUCGGAGAGGGAGGAGGAAUUCGGACGGGGUUUGUGUGCUCCCUGCUCCGGAUCCUGGCGCCGCACCAAGCUGUUGCGUUGCCGCUCCCGGCCGCUUGCCACCUCUCUUAGGAGCUCUUUUUUUUUUUCUUUUUUUUUUUUUUCAAUAAAAGCCCAAACUUCGCGAUUCGCUCCCGAUCUCUUUCCCGGCCGUCUGCGCGCGGCCGUGCCGUGGCUUGUCAGGAGCUCUGGGGGGGAGUUUUGGGGCGAGAAGGGGUUUUUUUGA
rnacentral:lncRNA from 1 species